GGGGGCAUAGCUCAGUUGGGAGAGCAGCAGACUGAAGUGUUUUCAUGCAUUCAGAGUUAAUUCUGAAGGUCCCGCGUUCAAUCCGCGGUGCCCCCA